rnacentral:rRNA from 1 species
UGGGGAAUAUUGGACAAUGGGCGAAAGCCUGAUCCAGCCAUGCCGCGUGUGUGAAGAAGGCCAUAAGGUUGUAAAGCACUUUAAGCAGGGAGGAAGAACUAUUAGUUAAUAGCUAAAAGUGGUGACGUUACCUGCAGAAUAAGCACCGGCUAACUCUGUGCCAGCAGCCGCGGUAAUACAGAGGGUGCGAGCGUUAAUCGGAAUUACUGGGCGUAAAGCGAGCGUAGGUGGUUGAUUAAGUCAGCUGUGAAAUCCCCGGGCUUAACCUGGGAAAGUCAGCUGAUACUGGUUAACUAGAGUAUGUGAGAGGAAAGUAGAAUUCCAGGUGUAGCGGUGAAAUGCGUAGAGAUCUGGAGGAAUACCGAUGGCGAAGGCAGCUUUCUGGCAUAAUACUGACACUGAGGUUCGAAAGCGUGGGUAGCAAACAG